rnacentral:rRNA from 1 species
UACGUAGGGUGCGAGCGUUGUCCGGAAUUAUUGGGCGUAAAGGGCUCGUAGGCGGUUUGUUGCGUCGGGAGUGAAAACUCAGGGCUUAACCCUGAGCCUGCUUCCGAUACGGGCAGGCUAGAGGUAUGCAGGGGAGAACGGAAUUCCUGGUGUAGCGGUGAAAUGCGCAGAUAUCAGGAGGAACACCGGUGGCGAAGGCGGUUCUCUGGGCAUUACCUGACGCUGAGGAGCGAAAGUGUGGGGAGCGAACAGG